CUUCGUAUGACAAAACUCACUGUAUAUACUCUCAAGACUUGACAACCACAAUUCUAUCUCAAAGUAUCCACAUUCUAAGUUAAUGCUAGCUUCCUACGACAAGAUGCUCUUCCCGCUUAACAAAUAGCUAAAAUCAAAUGAUAAUACAGCAACCCUUACGCGCACUACAACACGAAAAACUUAGUCCAUUACUGCUUACACGACUCAAACAGUAAGCAUUUAAUAUCAUCUCUUCUUACUCCCUAAGCUUUUCUUCUUACCCAGUUUGAUGAGCUAAAUUACCUCUCUUGGUGCUGAAAUCUAGUUCUAAAGAAAAGUAAAGCCGACAAGGUUAAAUUUAAUACAACUAUAUGAGGAUAAGAAAAUUUCUCAACACUCAGCCCAAAACAGGAUUGCCCAUUGCACUACAAGAAUCUUUUCCCUGAGGACCUUCACAUCUUGAAGAUGCACCUUCUGGAGAGAAAUAGCAAAGGCAAGCAUCAGGCUGCUGUCUGAAUGUUAUCUCAUAGUUAUAUUAGUGUUAAAAACUAAGAGAGAAAACUAGUGUAGCAAAGAAAACAGAAAUCGAUAAGUAGUGAAUGUCAGUCGAGGAAAAAAACACAACACAAACUGUUAGUGAUCAGUCGUCAAGAAAAUCCAACAGCAUAAUUCAAUAAGUUUGAAAUCAUAUGCUAGGCAGCUAUGACAAAAGACAAAUGUUCGGCAUUAUUAAUAUCCAUAUGGCACCUAAUUAGCUGCUCCAACACAUGAGGAAUUGACUCAACUCCUCAUCUCUCUGCAAAUAUCAUAAUAGUACAGCAUGGUUAAAGAAGUAAGACAUGGCAAGAGGUAAGAAAUCAUGUGAAGUGCUCCAACAAAUCAGCCUGCAUCAUCAUUUCAUCUCCGACAUGAACUUUUCAUACUCUGCAUCUGUACCAUAUGGAGGUUUGUCUGCAGAUGGUGGAGGUGGAGAUGCAGGUUCUGGUGGAUUUGAGGCCCAAGGAACAUUGCUCAUACUCUGUGAAUGAUCUAUACUGGACUGUGUUGCAGUUGGAGGAAGAGGAGGUGGUGGUGCCAUGCCAUAAUAAGAAGGAUAACUAUAUGAAGAUGUUGGAUAUGCAGAUUGGGUAUGGGGUGGCAUUGCAGCGACGGAAUUGGCAAAGGCAUAACUGGGAAGCGAUUGAACAGGAGCACUAUUAUGAGAUUGCACUCCGGGAGGAUAACUUUGUUGUGUCUCACCAGAAGAUGUAUAAUUUUGCUGGUUUUCGCCAGAAGAAACUGUCUGAGUAGGGACACCGGAAGAUGGUGUUGGCAUUGGUGGAGGAUACUGUGCACCAUAUGGAGGUACAAAUUGACCUGGAGGAGGAGGAUACAUGGUUGAUACAGGAGGCGGGUAAGAGGCAUAUGGUGGAGGCACAGGUGGUCCCCAAGGAACUGGAGUCCCAGCAUAGCCACGCGGGGGACCAAUGGGACCACCCGUUGCAUACUGCUGAGACGGAUAGACUCCGGAUGCCUGAUUAGGAACAGGAUAUGGGGGCAUUGCUGGAGCAGGAAGGCUUGGAGGCACAGCAGGCUGAGGGGGUUUGCCGGCUACUCUCACAGCAAUAGUUCUCCCAUCAAGACAAUGACCAUUCAUGCCAACAGUAGCACUAUUAGCUUGUUGAACAUCUGCAUACUUAACAAAACCAUAACCUUUACUCAGACCACUGAGACGAUCCUUUAUAACUUUAGCCAUUACGAUAGUACCAAAGGGAGAGAAUAAAUUGAUCAACCCAUCGUCAUCUAGAGUAGGAGGAAGAUAACCAAUAUACAAGUUUGUCUCGUCAAAUUCUUUUGGCUUCAUUAUAUUUGACCCUAAUCCAGGGUGUGAAGUGGUACCACCACCACUUGCACUAUUACUGCUGGCCCAAGGAGGAUUACUGCCUGUGCUUCCGGGACCAAGAGCAAGAGUUGCUGCAUUCUGCUUAAGUGAUGAUUCAGGAACUGUCCCUCCCAAUUCCGCCAAGAAGUUCUGAUACUCAUCAUCCAUUUUCUUUCCAGUAGUAUUUUUCACUGGACAAUCUAUAGUGGGAUGUCCUCCAUCACCACAUAUUUUGCAAAGCACAUCACUUUUAAAUGUGGUGGUGCGAGAAGGACAAGCAUAUUGCCUAUGACCUGGUUCACCACAAAGCCUACAAAACUCUUCAUCUCUAAUUGUUCCAUUCAACGCAGCAAGUUCCUUGAGCUGCUGCCUCUUAUGCUCAUUAAGUACUUCAUCGACAGGCUGCAAAAGCUUCUCCAACAUAGCUGCAGCAGCCUCAAGUGACUCCUGAGUAUCAGCUUCGACUAGGACAUGUAAAUCCUCAUUCUCUGAGGGAUCAUGUUUCAAAUUCCCUUUCUGUUGGAACCUCCCUUCUUUAAUGGACCCUUUCCCUCGAAUUACAAUCUUUGCUCCAGUCUCCUUUUCCAUUCUCUUCUGAGUAUUCCCUCUGGGUCCAAUUAUAAGGCCGAUAAAAUUAUAACCGGGGUACUCCUUCAUUGGAAUGUAAAGCUUUUUAUGAAGCUUAGGAGGCCUAUAAUCUGCUGGUGGCUUAAAAGCUGGAUUUUUCUUUAUUAUCUGUGAUAUAAUCUCUUGUCUUUCUCUAUUUAGUUUUUCUCGAGCACGAUACUCCCUGGUAUUUAUACGUACACCCAUAUUAUCAUAUAUAGGUUCAGGCGAAGGGGAUCGAGCUCCUUCAGGUCUAUCAUCUAAAGGCAUACCAGAUUGCAGUUUCCUACUAAUUUCAAGUAAUCUACUGUUAAGAGCUUGUACUUCAGGGUCAAAUUCAAUACCUCCAGCGAAAUCCUUCAUGAAAUCAGGUAACUGAAUCACUGGCUUGGGCUCAUCAUCUGCCCACCUCGAUUUCCUCUUCCGUCCAGCUCCAGUGCCAUCAUUGCUCGAAUCAGUCGGGGGUGGGUCCCAUCGGCUUCUCCUCCUUCUUCUACUGGAAGUUUCUUCUUCACCACCUGACUCGGCACCACCGCUAUGACUGCUAAUCAACCCAUUACCCGACAACAAUGGCUGAUUCGAAUUCAAAUCUGACAUUUUGUUUUGAGCUGAAUUAUCACAAACACCUGGUGGGGGAUCUUGACCUAGGGUUUGUGAAGGGUUUUGACAGUACAAAUCUGAAGAACUUUGAUACGAAUUUAGGGUUUGUGAUGGUUCUUGAACUGGAUGUGAUUGGGAAUCCAUUGAAGAUUUUCGAACAAAACUGGGAUGAAUGAAUUUUUUCUGGAAGUACCUGU
rnacentral:misc_RNA from 1 species